GCGUGUGAGGGCUGAGGGUGCGGCCCCGCUGCUGCCCGGGCUGCGGAGGGGAGAGCGCCUUGGCCGCUGGCAGGAUGUCGAGUGCCACCGUGUCCCUGAGGUCACCCUUUCUGCUGAUGGGAGAGCACGAGGUGGAUGGAGAGGAUCCCCAGGCAUCUGCAGGCACAAGGGACUCGCACAGCUGUGAUUUUUCUCCAGCCCUCGUGAGAGGGACUUUCAGGGUUCCAUGGGUCAUGUGCCAGCUCUCCUGCUGGAGCUUUUGUCUGCUGUAUUUGAACACAAAGAGUAGAACUAAAGUCAGGUGUGUUCUGGAGCCUGUUACACUUGUGCAAAGCUCCUUCCCUCUGCUUAUUUUCUGUUCUGGAAAGCACAGUCUGGGGUUCCUGGGCACUUGGUAUUAAAUGAUACCAUGGAAGUAAUUUUGUAGUGAAAGGGGAAAGGAGCUGUCUGUGGGAGGUCAGAUGUCCCUGAUAAAAGCUUUAUGCUUUUUCACUCAGUAAACUCUUAAAAUAUC